UGCAAAUGAGCAGAAAGGAUGUGACGAUU
rnacentral:piRNA from 1 species